AUGAACAUGCUUCUUGACACCUGCUCAUUUUUUGUAAUCCUCCUAAUGUUCAGAAGGAGCAAUGGAGACUCGGUGACCCAGACAGAAGGCCUGGUUACUUUCUCAGAGGGAGUAUCUGUGAUCCUGAGCUGCACCUACCAUACCACUUAUUCAAGUCCUUCCCUGUUCUGGUAUGUCCAAUACCUUAAUAAAGCCCCUCAACUUCUCCUGAAGAGUGCCACAGAAAACCAGAAGCAAGAGAACCAAGGAUUUGAGGCCACUCUUAUGAAGAAGAACAGCUCCUUCCACCUGCACAAGUCCUCACUCCAGCUGUCGGACUCUGCUGUUUACUACUGUGCUUUGAGUAAGGGUAACUAUGCCCAGGGAUUGAUCUUCGGUUCUGGAACCAGAUUGUCUGUACUUCCCUACAUCCAAGACCCUGCCCCUGCUGUGUACCAACUAAAAGAUCCAAAAUCCAGCAACAACUCUGUCUGCUUAUUCACUGAUUUUGAUUCUCAAGUCAAUAUGUCAGAUCUGGUGGAAUCUGAAAUGUUUAUCUCUGACAAAACUGUGCUGGAUAUGAAGUCUAUGGAUUCCAGGAGCAAUGGGGCCCUGGCCUGGAGUAGCAAAACUGAUUUCAAGUGUACAGAUGUCUUCAUAGAGAACACCUUCACCACCAGCUCAGACAUUUCCUGUGAUGCCAAGUUGGUAGAGAAAAGCUUUGAAACAGAUAUGAACCUAAACUUUCAAAACCUGUCAGUGAUGGGGCUCCGCAUCCUCCUUCUAAAAGUGGCUGGAUUCAACCUACUUAUGACGCUGAGGCUGUGGUCCAGCUGAGGAUGACAGGACUGUAAGGACAAGCCUUUGCUUCCAAAUGCCUUCCUCCUCAUCACUUCUCCUCUCCUUCAAGCAAAGAGGAGCCCUCCCACCCCCAUUAAGAAGGUUCCUUCCAUCUAUAUGGCCUCCAAUGACAAUGCCACCAAC